rnacentral:tRNA from 1 species
GCUCCAAUGGCGCAGUUGGUUAGCGCAUGGUACUUAUACGACAGUAUACAUGGUUAAAACAAUGUCAAAAUUACUUGAAAAAGUAAUUUCGAGAGAUGCCGAGGUCGCGAGUUCGAGCCUCGCCUGGAGCA